rnacentral:piRNA from 1 species
UCCGAGUGCACCUACGGACUGACUGUGGGU